rnacentral:rRNA from 1 species
CUACGGGUCGCAGCAGUGGGGAAUAUUGGACAAUGGGGGAAACCCUGAUCCAGCAAUGCCGCGUGUGUGAAGAAGGCCUGCGGGUUGUAAAGCACUUUCGGUUGGGAGGACUGCUUCUAGCACUAAUAUUGUUGGAAGUUGACGUUACCUUCAGAAGAAGCACCGGCUAACUCCGUGCCAGCAGCCGCGGUAAUACGGAGGGUGCAAGCGUUAAUCGGAAUUACUGGGCGUAAAGCGCGCGUAGGCGGCUAGAUCAGUCGGGUGUGAAAGCCCCGGGCUUAACCUGGGCACUGCAUCCGAUACUGUCUAGCUUGAGUACAGGAGAGGAGAGUGGAAUUCCACAUGUAGCGGUGAAAUGCGUAGAUAUGUGGAGGAACACCAAUGGCGAAGGCAGCUCUCUGGCCUGAUACUGACGCUGAGGUGCGAAAGCAUGGGGAGCAAACAGGAUUAGAUACCCUUGUAGUC